rnacentral:rRNA from 1 species
UACGUAGGGACCGAGCGUUGUCCGGAUUCAUUGGGCGUAAAGAGCUCGUAGGCGGCUGUUCAAGUCGAACGUGAAAACUCGGGGCUCAACUCCGAGCCUGCGUUCGAUACUGGAGGUCUCGAGGGGGGUAGGGCAUGCGGAACUACGGGUGGAGCGGUGAAAUGCGUUGAUAUCCGUAGGAACUCCGGUGGCGAAGGCGGCGUGCUGGACCCCUUCGUCGACGCUGAGGCGCGAAAGCCAGGGGAGCGAACGGG